UACGAAGGGGACUAGCGUUGUUCGGAAUCACUGGGCGUAAAGCGCACGUAGGCGGAUGUGUCAGUCAGGGGUGAAAUCCCGGGGCUCAACCUCGGAACUGCCUUUGAUACAGCACGUCUCGAGUCCGGAAGAGGUGGGUGGAAGUUCCUAGUGUAGAGGUGAAAUUCGUAGAUAUUAGGAAGAACACCGGUGGCGAAGGCGGCCCACUGGUCCGGUACUGACGCUGAGGUGCGAAAGCGUGGGGAGCAAACAGG
rnacentral:rRNA from 1 species